rnacentral:tRNA from 3 species
GCGAGGAUGGCGGAAUUGGUAGACGCGCUGGUUUUAGGUACCAGUACCAAUGGUGUGGGGGUUCGAGUCCCCCUCCUCGUACCA